rfam:Gossypium arboreum cultivar AKA8401 contig_7227_5, whole genome shotgun sequence.
AACCCAUGGUGGGGGCACUUUCGUAUCAUUGAUUUGAAACACUCCCAUGCCUUGUACAGUGUUUCACCUUUGAAUUGUUUAAAAUUGGUGAUAUCACAUCUAAACU